ensembl:lncRNA
AAUACCCGGACGGGGCAGAAAAAGGAAGCCAUCGACGGCUGCAAGCAGAUUUGUGAGAAGGCAGGUUGUGAAAAACCCUUGAGUGACUGCAAAAGACCUGCAGCGAGACUUGAUGUAACAGACACUGAGGUUUCAGUGAGCACACAUGCUAUUGAUGGGUCACGGCAAGAAGCUGAUGGUGAACACCGAGAAGAUUGAAGUGUUUCAGAGGUUUAAAAUGUCCGGAAAGGAGCAGUAAGCAUGUGGUUUUUUUUUUUUUUUUUUUUUUUUGUCCAGCGUAAUAUUUUGAGAUCGUUCACGGUCUUGAUUCAGUCGGAAAAAGAAAAUCAGAUUGUUUCAUAAAUGUAGUUACUUCAUCCAAGGCGAUAUGUGUAAUGUGAAAGGAAACGUGACGGAUGAAGGGGUUUUUAUACAGAUUAGCCGGUCUUUUAUCAGUGUCUCUUUUUUAUUAUUAUUUAUUUUUAAACAAAGCAUCAGUUUUCUAAAAGAAGAAAAGGGCAGUGAACUAAUCCUCUGACGCACACUGAGACAUUGGAUGCAUCAGCAGGUCUCUUUUUGGCAGUCCUUAUUCGGAAAGACUUUGGAUCAGUGGCCUUUCGUUGGCCUUUUAAAGAUGAAUACCCUGCAAGAACGGAGGAGAUUCAGAAACAGCCGAAAGUCGAACACGUCUUACCUUGGCAACUGACUCUGCUCAGUGCCAAGUGAUGUCAUUUAAUAGGGUACUUAAUCUAGUGCCUUAGUAAUUAUGGAGAGAUUUUUUUUUUUAACAGAAAGACCUCGGGUUUCAUCCUUGGUGCUGAAUAUCUUCCUUGGAUAUUUGCUUGCAUUUCCUCAUGUAUAAGUCGCUUUGGAUAAAAGCGUCUGCUAAAUGAAGAAAUGCAUAAUAAUUGUGUUGUAUAUUGCUCAUAUAGCCGAAGUCCUUGUUAUGUUUAAUUGAAUCUGGCAUGUAUUCACCAAGCCUAACUGUGUUGUAAUACACAUUUCCCUCUUUUCAAUUGUUAGUGGGUGUCUUUUUUUUUUUUUUUGGUAAUCGAUUUCCAGUUUAUUUAUUUUAAUAAAACCUUGAUACCUCUUAGUCCAGGGGUUCUCAAACCUGUCCUGGAGGAUCUCCAGCACUGCACAUUUUGUAUGUCUCCCUUAUCUUACACGCCCAAUUCAGGUCUUGCAGUCUGUAUUAAUGAGCUGAUGAGUCGAAUCAGGUGUGUUAGAUGAGGAAGACAGCAAGAUGUGCAGUGCUGGGGGCCCAUGACUGACUAUUAACUCUAACACAAAUUAAAAAAAUAAAAUAAAUAUAUAUAAGGAUAAAUGCAGAAUUUAACAUGGACAUGCCUAUUAAAUCCUGAUGUAUACAAAUGAAUGUUCUGGCAAGGAAAAUUCUGACUAAUUGGAGUAAAUGGGCCGCUUGGUGUUAGCAGACGGGUCAGUCCCGCAAUGACAAAAUGGCUUCUUUUUUGGCCGAGAGGAAGUCUGCGAUCUUUGCCAGCUUCUCCAUUUUGCUGCAUCACUCAGGGUAUUGGAUUAGAUAUGCAAGCAUUCUCCAAUACUGUGGAUGAAACAUUGGCAUGUCUACCUAGUUUUACCUUUAUUAGUUGGCUCGUUUUAUGUUUUCUCCACAAGGGAGAUAAAUAUUUCCUGUCGCUCUUGAGAUUUAAUUGGCUUCUUCAGCCUGCAUAGCUAGUGUAUGGUUUAUAGUGGUAUCUAUUAAGUUGCACAACUCUUCACUGCUUAUCUCUAACACCCCCCCCCCCCCCCCCCCCAAUCUUCUCCAGGCACAGUCUUUCGGAUAUAAACUUAUGGAAAAGAUGGCAAGGUGAAGGAUACAGGAUGAGUGUCGACGCUUCUCCAGAUGGUGUUUGCACUGUGGGAUGAGGUAGUAGGUUGUGUAGUUUUAGGGUCACACCCACACUGGGAGAUAACUAUACAGCCUACUGUCUUUCUCAGGGUGGCGAGGGAGCACCUGCACAUCUCAUCGUGUGUUGGGAAUGCAGUAUCAUAAGAUAUAGGGGUGAAUAAAACCCAAUUAGUUGAUGGACGUCGACGUUCAUGCCUGUUAAAAGAUUAUGCUUUCACAGUGUGAGGUAGUAGAUUGUAUAGUUGUGGGAUAGUGAUUUUAUCCUGUCUGGAAGAUAACUAUACAACCUAUUGCCUUCCCUGAGGGGCGGAGAUUCACAGUCAGUUUACCUCUUUAAAAUGAACUGUUUGUUAACGAAUAAAUAUAUUAUUUUAUUUGUGUAUGUAAGUGCUUGUGUGUUUCUGAAUUAAUAAAUGCCAUUCAUUGUGUCUCAUGGCCUAUUAUCUGUUUUGUAAGUGUUUUUUUUUUUUUUUUUUUUUUUUUUUUUUUUUUUUUUAAAUUAUGCUAUAAUGACUGAUAAUCUGCACACACAGUAAUAUGAAUAUGAAUCCAUCCGAAAAGUAAAUCCGUGAAAACCCAUUAGACUACAAUAGAGGAUGCAAUUUUCCUGAAGAUUUCAGUAUGUGUUUAAAACAUUUGUGCAGUGUUAGUGCUCCAGUGUUCAGUAAUCCAGGUUUAUCUUGCUCGGGUAGUUUAACAGAGCAAGGGUGUAUAUGAAUUGAGUAAUUGUGAUUUACCCAGUGGUGUUGGGGGACUGUCGAUUCCAGCUUUUUUCCGGGAGAUGGCGCUCUUUAAUUAUUUAUCAUAAUCCAGACGACGAAUGCAGCGUGUCACGUAAAGGCUAUACUCUUAAAAUUGAAAAGAGCUAGGUCAUACAGUAUUAUUAUACGAUGUCUGUUUAGGCCCCAUUUAAUUACUGCACUUGUAUCUUGUCAGUUUGUAAACCAAGGAGCAUAUCCAGUAGGCCUAUAAUAUUGGCAAUGUUAUAAAAUAUUACAACCUUUAUGGGAGGUCAUCCAUGAGAUCCAUUGGAUUAUUUGGCUUUCCUCCUGCCUGAGGGACAAUUAUUGUGUAGUUUGUACAUUCACACUAUUAAAAGCAAACAGCUCAAGACUGGAAACUCCAUCAGUUUUACAGAUGUCGUCAUUUCACCCAGACUGAAGAUUAAAUAGAAAUUUGCAAGCAGAUGGGUUGUACUGUAGAUAAAAAUCUAAGAUUUCAACACCUUAAAUCGUUGUGCUGACAAACUACUAUUAGUCUGAACGCAGUCUCGUUGCCUGUAUUCAUUGCUUUAGUGGAGAAGGAUCCUUUUCAUUUCCAGUGCUCUUUUGCACAGUAAUUUGUAUUAAACGUACUUGACAAGAUACAAGAUCUUUAAUGUCAUAUGCACAAGGUUCUUCACUAAGCAACGUGAUGCUGCAGUAGAACAUAUAGGCGAGAAAAGAAAGAAAGAAAAAAAGACAGUAAAUUAGCCUAAUAAUAGAUACAUAUUUGUGACAGGAGUUAUAUACCUUAUAAACUG